rnacentral:rRNA from 1 species
GACAGAGGGGGCAAACGUUGCUCGGAAUCAUUGGGCGUAAAGCGCACGUAGGCGGUCGUCUAUGUCGGAUGUGAAAGCCUCGGGCUUAACCCGAGAAGGGCAUCCGAAACUGGCCGGCUUGAGUACGGAAGAGGGUAUCGGAAUUCCCGGUGUAGAGGUGAAAUUCGUAGAUAUCGGGAGGAACACCAGUGGCGAAGGCGGAGACCUGGGCCGAUACUGACGCUGAGGUGCGAAAGCGUGGGGAGCAAACAGG